UACGUAGGGCGCAAGCGUUGUCCGGAAUUAUUGGGCGUAAAGAGCUCGUAGGCGGCUUGUCGCGUCGGGUGUGAAAGCCCGGGGCUUAACCAAGGAAGUGCAUCCGAAACUGCUGAGCUUGAGUACUUAAGAGGAUCGCGGAAUUCCCGGUGUAGAGGUGAAAUUCGUAGAUAUGGGGAGGAACACCGGUGGCGAAGGCGGCCAUCUGGACGGAUACUGACGCUGAGACGCGAAAGCGUGGGGAGCAAACAGG
rnacentral:rRNA from 1 species